rnacentral:rRNA from 1 species
AUUGAACGCUGGCGGCAGGCUUAACACAUGCAAGUCGAGCGGAGAUGAGGUGCUUGCACCUUAUCUUAGCGGCGGACGGGUGAGUAAUGCUUAGGAAUCUGCCUAUUAGUGGGGGACAACAUUCCGAAAGGAAUGCUAAUACCGCAUACGUCCUACGGGAGAAAGCAGGGGAUCUUCGGACCUUGCGCUAAUAGAUGAGCCUAAGUCGGAUUAGCUAGUUGGUGGGGUAAAGGCCUACCAAGGCGACGAUCUGUAGCGGGUCUGAGAGGAUGCUCCGCCACACUGGGACUUAGACACGGCCCAGACUCCUACGGGAGGCAGCAGUGGGGAAUAUUGGACAAUGGGGGAAACCCUGAUCCAGCCAUGCCGCGUGUGUGAAGAAGGCCUUAUGGUUGUAAAGCACUUUAAGCGAGGAGGAGGCUACUGAGACUAAUACUCUUGGAUGGUGGACGUUACUCGCAGAAUAAGCACCGGCUAACUCUGUGCCAGCCGCCGCGGUAA